rnacentral:rRNA from 1 species
CCUACGGGUGGCAGCAGUGAGGAAUAUUGGUCAAUGGACGAGAGUCUGAACCAGCCAAGUAGCGUGAAGGAAGACGGCCCUAUGGGUUGUAAACUGCUGUUAUAGAGGAAUAAAACGAGGCACGUGUGCCUUUUUGCAUGUACGUUAUGAAUAAGGAUCGGCUAACUCCGUGCCAGCAGCCGCGGUAAUACGGAGGGUCCGAGCGUUAUCCGGAGUUAUUGGGUUUAACGGGUGCGUAGAGGGGUUGUUCAGUCCGUUGUGACAGUUUGCGGCUCCACCGUGAAAUUGCCAUUGAUACUGGCAGUCUUGCGUACAGUUGCGGUCGGCGGAAUUCUUGGUGUAGCGGUGACAUGCUUAGAUAUCACGCAGAACCCCGAUUGCGAAGGCAGCUUACUAAGCUGUUCCUGCCAUUGAUGCUCGACAGUGUGGGUAUCAAACAGGAUUAGCUACCCCUGUAGUC